rnacentral:piRNA from 2 species
UGGCUUUGUGCUGAACACACCUUCUCCA